rnacentral:rRNA from 1 species
AUUAGUGGGGGAUAACACGGGGAAACUCGUGCUAAUACCGCAUACGUCCUACGGGAGAAAGCGGGGGAUCGUAAGACCUCGCGCUAAUAGAUGAGCCUAUGCCGGAUUAGCUAGUUGGUAGGGUAAAGGCCUACCAAGGCGACGAUCCGUAGCUGGUCUGAGAGGAUGAUCAGCCACACUGGGACUGAGACACGGCCCAGACUCCUACGGGAGGCAGCAGUGGGGAAUAUUGGACAAUGGGCGCAAGCCUGAUCCAGCCAUGCCGCGUGUGUGAAGAAGGCCUUCGGGUUGUAAAGCACUUUAAGUGGGGAGGGAGGUCUGUAGUUUAAUACGCUAUGGAAUUGACGUUACCCACAGAAUAAGCACCGGCUAACUCUGUGCCAGCAGCCGCGGUAAUACAGAGGGUGCAAGCGUUAAUCGGAAUUACUGGGCGUAAAGCGCACGUAGGUGGUUUUGUAAGUUGAAUGUGAAAGCCCCGGGCUUAACCUGGGAAUUGCAUCCAAAACUGCACGACUAGAGUAUGGGAGAGGGAGGUAGAAUUCCAGGUGUAGCGGUGAAAUGCGUAGAGAUCUGGAGGAAUACCGGUGGCGAAGGCGGCCUCCUGGCCUAAUACUGACACUGAGGUGCGAAAGCGUGGGUAGCAAACAGGAUUAGAUACCCUGGUAGUCCACGCCGUAAACGAUGAGAACUAGCCGUUGGUCUCCUUGAGAGGUUAGUGGCGCAGCUAACGCGAUAAGUUCUCCGCCUGGGGAGUACGGCCGCAAGGUUAAAACUCAAAUGAAUUGACGGGGGCCCGCACAAGCGGUGGAGCAUGUGGUUUAAUUCGACGCAACGCGAAGAACCUUACCUGGUCUUGACAUCCACGGAAUCCUGCAGAGAUGUGGGAGUGCCUUCGGGAACCGUGAGACAGGUGCUGCAUGGCUGUCGUCAGCUCGUGUUGUGAAAUGUUGGGUUAAGUCCCGUAACGAGCGCAACCCUUGUCCUUAGUUGCCAGCGAGUAAUGUCGGGAACUCUAAGGAGACUGCCGGUGACAAACCGGAGGAAGGUGGGGACGACGUCAAGUCAUCAUGGCCCUUACGACCAGGGCUACACACGUGCUACAAUGGCCGGUACAGAGGGUUGCCAAGCCGCGAGGUGGAGCCAAUCCCGAAAAGCCGGUCGUAGUCCGGAUUGCAGUCUGCAACUCGACUGCAUGAAGUCGGAAUCGCUAGUAAUCGCAGAUCAGAAUGCUGCGGUGAAUACGUUCCCGGGCCUUGUACACACCGCCCGUCACACCAUGGGAGUGGGUUGCACCAGAAGUAGUUAGCUUAACCGCAAGGGGAGCGAUUACCACGGUGUGAUUCAUGACUGGGGUGAAGUCGGAACAAGGUA